CAUGUCGAGUGUUACUUGUUUCCAAAGAUCUUUUAACACAUUAAAUGAAGCUAAAAACAAUAGUUAUUAGUAGUCACACAUUUUCCCACUCAUUUAAAUUAUCUUUAGUUUGAAGCAUAUUAUAGAGAUUUCCAGUUUGUCGGUUCUAAACUUUGAGAUAUUAAGCUUGAUUGAUAACCCUAUUGUGAAAUUACAAUUAUUCAAACGUAUGUAUUUCUUAAUCGUUGUAAUAAAUUUAAGGAGGUUUAUCCCAUUGCUAACGGCCCAUAUUUCUUAAUAAAUUACGUCACAUUGUUGACUCCACUGCUGUAGCUUUAUAAUACGUACGGCAUAUAUAAAUACACACAUACAUCUUUCCAACUUCCUACUACGCGCUUUCUAAUUAACUUCUCUACAAUAAAAUGAUGUAUACAACGGAUAAAGUGGCUAAAACAGGUUCUAUGGGUCACUUUUUUGUUUUGUUUGAAUUACGAGUUUCCUUCACCACGCUUUAGUUGUUAACAUUUGCAAGAAGUUAAUUUAAACAACAAAGGCUAACUAUUCGUUUUUUAAGGCCAUAAAACAGCUGAAAGUAGCUUUCUCUCCUUAAUGGGCUCUUGAGAACAGGAAGAUGAUAAGGUCAAAACAAGAACGUGGAGGUCGCGAUACGUUUCAUUUUUGUGACAUGGUUCGCCUUUUGACCGUUUCAUAUCUUUAUGACAUUUAUAUGCGCAGUCCAUCUGAAUGUUUUUUGUGUUUCCAUAUUUAAUUAAAUACCAUGUAUUCCUAUUACAUGUCUAAAUCAUUAUUUGAAAAAAGUAUUUGUGUUUAUGUCUUUACUAAUAACUAGCGAACCGUUUGACUGAUUGUCACCAAACUUGGCAGGGACUCUUCAGGAUCCCAGGAGACUAACGUAGGAGAGGUUGACGUUCGGAUCUGUCACCCCCCCCCCUCCUCUCGCCUAUGUCUUUCCCGUGCGUUGGACGGAAUGCUGACCAGACGAAGAACAACAAGCCAAAAACCUCGUCGCCUACACGGUUACUCAUCAACCAAGAGUCGGAUUCUAUCUUCCACAUUUUGACCAUGCCCUCAGCUAAAAAUGCAGUACGUGUUCAGAAGCAUAUCGGAAGCGCUAAUCUUGGCCCUUUGGCAUGCUAACCAAUACGUUAUGCCGGGUAUGCGGUAUUAUUUGGUCCAUAUUUUGUACAAUUUCAGAUUACAAAUAUUGAUUAAGAGAUGUUUUUUCUACUGAUUUGAUUCUCAUUAGUACUGGAUAAAAUAAAAUAAAAACAACUUGCACUGUA